ensembl:antisense Gm15879 predicted gene 15879
CAGUGAAGCUCCCAUCCCCAUCAAAGACUAAAGCCUAGCUUGUGCUGAGCCAGUGGGAGGCCCUCAGUCCUUCCCCUGUACUUACCUGAAAGCCAAUCUGAGACGGCUGCAGCAGUCAGAACAGACCUGCUCUGUAUGAUGAGCCCCCGAGUCUGCACUGGAACUGGAUGAACAAGAUGCUGUCUCUACCAUGCCGAACAUCAACAGUAGGACCAGGAGCACACUCUGGAGGUACAAGAACCAGGAAGGUAGAAGCAGCUGAGUGCUUCUGGAGUUUUCAGUCAGAUCAACAAGGAAGUAUGUGCUGACAGCCAGUGACCAUAAGGAACACUGGCCACUUUUACGGAUCAGGUUUGGAAAAGAACUGAUUCUCGGGCUGGAGAGAUGGCUCAGCGGUUAAGAGCACUGACUGGCUCUUCCGAAGGUCUCGAGUUCAAAUCCCAGCAACCACAUGGUGGCUCACAACCAUCCAUAAUGAGAUCUGAUGCCCUCUUCUGGGGUGUCUGAAGACAGCUACAGUGUAUUUACAUAUAAUAAAUAAAUAAAUAAAUAAAUAAAUAAAUAAAUAAAUCUUUUA